CAAUAGCGUAUAUUUAAGUUGCUGCAGUUAAAAAGCUCGUAGUUGGAUUUCGGGUGGGAAUGGCCGGUCCGCCGUUUCGGUGUGCACUUGCUACGCCCACCUUGCUGCCGGGGACGUGCUCUUGAGUUCACGCUCGGGACACGGAGUCGGCGAGGUUACUUUGAGUAAAUUAGAGUGUUCAAAGCAGGCCUACGCUCUGAAUACAUUAGCAUGGAAUAACACGAUAGGACUCUGGCCAAUCUUGUUGGUCUGUAGGACCGGAGUAAUGAUUAAGAGGGACAGUCGGGGGCAUUCGUAUUUCAUUGUCAGAGGUGAAAUUCUUGGAUUUAUGAAAGACGAACUACUGCGAAAGCAUUUGCCAAGGAUGUUUUCAUUAA
rnacentral:rRNA from 1 species